rnacentral:rRNA from 1 species
UACGUAGGGUGCAAGCGUUGUCCGGAAUUAUUGGGCGUAAAGGGCUCGUAGGCGGUCCAUCACGUCGGGAGUGAAAAGCUGGGGCUUAACCCCAGUCCUGCUUUCGAUACGGGCGGACUAGAGGUAGGCAGGGGAGAACGGAAUUCCUGGUGUAGCGGUGGAAUGCGCAGAUAUCAGGAGGAACACCGGUGGCGAAGGCGGUUCUCUGGGCCUUACCUGACGCUGAGGAGCGAAAGCGUGGGGAGCGAACAGG